GGCCGCAGGGAUUCGAUUGAGUUUGAUUCCUGGCUCAGGAUGAACCCCGUCAGCGUGCUUAACACAUGCAAGUCGAGCGAAGCGCUCACCCGGAAUUUUUCGGAAGGAAGCGGGAGUGACUUAGCGGCGGACGGGUGAGUAACGCGUGGGUAACCUGCCCCAUACCGGGGGAUAACGGUUAGAAAUGACCGCUAAUACCGCUUAAGCGCACGAGGCCGCAUGGCCGCGCGCGAAAAACUCCGGUGGUAUGGGAUGGGCCCGCGUCUGAUUAGGUAGUUGGCGGGGUAAGGGCCCACCAAGCCGACGAUCAGUAGCCGACCUGAGAGGGUGGCCGGCCACAUUGGGACUGAGACACGGCCCAAACUCCUACGGGAGGCAGCAGUGGGGAAUAUUGCGCAAUGGGGGAAACCCUGACGCAGCGACGCCGCGUGAGUGAAGAAGUAUCUCGGUAUGUAAAGCUCUAUCAGCGGGGAAGAAGGAAGACGGUACCCGACUAAGAAGCCCCGGCUAACUACGUGCCAGCAGCCGCGGUAAUACGUAGGGGGCGAGCGUUAUCCGGAUUUACUGGGUGUAAAGGGAGCGUAGACGGCGUCGCAAGUCUGAAGUGAAAGCCCGUGGCUUAACCGCGGAACCGCUUUGGAAACUGUGAGGCUGGAGUGCUGGAGAGGUAAGCGGAAUUCCUGGUGUANCGGUGAAAUGCGUAGAUAUCAGGAGGAACACCGGUGGCGAAGGCGGCUUACUGGACAGUGACUGACGUUGAGGCUCGAAAGCGUGGGGAGCGAACAGGGAUAGAUACCCUGGUAAUCACGCGGUAAACGAAGAGUUGCAAGGUGUCGGGGGGGCAAAGCCCCUUCCGGUGCCCCGCAA
rnacentral:rRNA from 1 species